GAUUACUUCGUUCAGCAGGCGCGAAACCUUUACACUGCACGACAGUGCGAUAAGGGAAUCCCAAGUGCGUAGGCAUAGAGCCUACGCUUUUGUCUACCGUAGGGAGGUAGACGAAUAAGGGCUGGGCAAGACCGGUGCCAGCCGCCGCGGUAAUACCGGCAGCCCGAGUGAUGGCCGAUCUUAUUGGGCCUAAAGCGUCCGUAGCUGGCCGCGCAAGUCUAUCGGAAAAUCCACCCGCUCAACGGGUGGGCGUCCGGUAGAAACUGCGUGGCUUGGGACCGGAAGGCGCGACGGGUACGUCCGGGGUAGGAGUGAAAUCCUGUAAUCCUGGACGGACCGCCGAUGGCGAAAGCACGUCGCGAAGACGGAUCCGACAGUGAGGGACGAAAGCUAGGGUCUCGAACCGGAUUAGAUACCCGGGUAGUCCUAGCCGUAAACAAUGCCUGUUAGGUGUGGCUCCCACUACGAGUGGGUGCUGUGCCGUAGGGAAGCCGCUAAGCAGGCCGCCUGGAAGUACUCCUCUUCGGUUCAACUGGG
rnacentral:rRNA from 1 species